rnacentral:rRNA from 1 species
AGCGAACGCUGGCGGCAGGCUUAACACAUGCAAGUCGAGCGGGCAUCUUCGGAUGUCAGCGGCAGACGGGUGAGUAACACGGGGGAACGUACCCUUCGGUUCGGAACAACUCUGGGAAACUGGAGCUAAUACCGGAUACGCCCUUAGGGGGAAAGGUUUACUGCCGAAGGAUCGGCCCGCGUCUGAAUAGCUAGUUGGUGGGGUAACGGCCUACCAAGGCGACGAUCAGUAGCUGGUCUGAGAGGAUGAUCAGCCACACUGGGACUGAGACACGGCCCAGACUCCUACGGGAGGCAGCAGUGGGGAAUAUUGGACAAUGGGCGCAAGCCUGAUCCAGCCAUGCCGCGUGAGUGAUGAAGGCCUUAGGGUUGUAAAGCUCUUUUGUCCGGGACGAUAAUGACGGUACCGGAAGAAUAAGCCCCGGCUAACUUCGUG